rnacentral:misc_RNA from 1 species
UACGUAGGUGGCAAGCGUUGUCCGGAAUUAUUGGGCGUAAAGCGCGCGCAGGCGGCCCCUUAAGUCUGAUGUGAAAGCACCCGGCUCAACCGGGGAGGGCCAUUGAAAACUGGGAAGCUUGAGUAUAGGAGAGAAGAGUGGAAUUCAACGUGUAGCGAUGAAAUGCGUAGAGAUGUGGAGGAACCCCAGUGGCGAAGGCGGCUCUUUGGCCUAUAACUGACGCUGAGGCGCGAAAACGUGGGGAGCAAACAGG